rnacentral:tRNA from 4 species
GGCGGUGUAGCUCAGUUGGCUAGAGCAUCCGGUUCAUACCCGGCAGGUCGGGAGUUCAAAUCUCUCCGCCGCUACCA